AAAUAACAAUACAGGGCAGAUGUCUUGUAAUUGGAAUGAUGGCGACGUAAAAGCUCGCCAGAGUACCAAUUGGAGGGCAAGUCUGGUGCCAGCAGCCGCGGUAAUUCCAGCUCCAAUAGCGUAUAUUAAACUUGUUGCAGUUAAAAAGCUCGUAGUUGAACUUCAGCCAUUGGUGUCAUCGCGCGUGUCGCGUUGAGUCCGUUGGCUUAUCUUUUUACUUUGAGAAAAUUAGAGUGUUUCAAGCAGACUUUUGUCUUGAAUACUUCAGCAUGGAAUAAUAGAGUAGGACCUUGGUUCUAUUUUGUUGGUUUCUGAACCUGGGUAAUGGUUAAUAGGAACGGUUGGGGGCAUUCGUAUUUA
rnacentral:rRNA from 1 species